GGAGCUUGGGGGUUCCAGGGUGUUGACAGCCUCAACAGUACCUGGAGCCAGACUCCGUGGUCCGAGGGAGGCACAGACCUGGAAUAAGAACCCAGUGGGCAAAGUUCUCUCUUGUUUCUUCCGUCUCUGUCAUCCUGUCUCUUCUCUUGGCUGUAGACGCUGUGCUCAAUUCCUUAGGGAAGGUGCUCAUCCCUUCUAGAGCUGCUGGGCCUCGGAAGGACAUCGGUUUCUUCCCUGGAGUUGUUGCUAUCGGGCCCCUGGGAGGAAGAGAUGUCUUCACACACAAGCUUGCUGUCAGUAAAGAUUGUUUUCAUGCUGAGAAUUCAAUCAAACCGGAUUCUACUGCAACAGCACAAGCAAGCCCACAAAUAGGCUGUGGAGCAACUAGAAAAAUUCACAUUGACAAGAUAUAAGGCCACCAGACAUGUAGUAUGGGCCGCACCUCUCCUAACUGUGACCAUUAGCAAGUGUGGGUGAGUAUCCUAGUUGGGCAGCAGCUCAAUUUCUUUGUGUUUGAUGACUUGGGUAAGUGGUGUCCUCAGCAACAGAGCCUUACAGUUAGCUGAUGAAUUUACAAAGUUUUUGAAACACAAGAAAUGUGAUGCCUCUGCCUGCUUUAUUAUUUUAUUAUCAUUAGCAGGCACACUUCAGGAAACUAUCUGACUCCAUCACAUGUUACUGUAUCAGGAGUAUAAAUGUAACUACUGCUAAUUUUGUAAUGUGGUUAGAAAGAAGGCUGGAGAAAUCGACUGAACUUGAACCUGAUCCUGAGCAGGGAAACAGAAGAAAAGGGGGUCAAAAGCGUGUGUCGU